CAUAGUUGGCAAUGAAGGAAUAUGCCUCGGAUAAAUAGAAAUAGAACAAUUGUGGUUAUCCAAAUGCUUUGAGCUUGAAUGCUGUCUAGGUAAUUGGAUGGACAAUUUCUUACAAUUUUCAUUUUUUUUCUAAUCUUUUUUGUCCUUUAGGUGAUGUAACAUACUAUAUUACACAUGGUGAGGUGAGACCCUUAGAAGGUUGAAUCAUUCCGACUAAUGGAUGUACUAUCACCAGGGGCAAGUCCAGCCAGUCAGCAAGACACCUGAAUUUACAGGAGUGACAUUUCCACGUUAUUCAAAUUCAAAACAAGCCUACUCGGUGAACCUCAGCCCCAAGGAAUUCACAGUGCUCUACAUCAACUCCCAAUUUGCAAUUCUAGGUAAGUGUUCACCAAACCACUGUUUUUUGUUUUUGUUUUUGUUUUGAGAUGUAGUCUUGCUCUGUUGCCCAAGCUGGAGUGCAGUGGGACAAUCUCGGCUCGCUGCAACCUCCACCUCCAGGGUUCAAGUGAUUCUCCUGCCUCAGCCUCCCGAGUAGCUGGGAUUACAGGCGCGAGCCACCAUGCCCCGCUAAUUUUUUGUAUUUUUAGUAGAAACAGGGUUUUGCUGUGUUGGCCAGGCUGGUCUCAAACUCCUGACCUCAGGUGAUCCACUCCCGUGGGCCUCCCAAAGUGCUGGGAUUACAGGCGUAAGCCACCGUGCCUGGCCUCCAAAUCACUUCUGAAACAAUCAAUGGAAAAUAAUAUGAGAGAAAUC
ensembl:lincRNA